UACGUAGGGUGCGAGCGUUGUCCGGAAUUACUGGGCGUAAAGAGCUCGUAGGUGGUUUGUCGCGUUGUUCGUGAAAACUCACAACUCAAUUGUGGGCGUGCGGGCGAUACGGGCAGACUGGAGUACUGCAGGGGAGACUGGAAUUCCUGGUGUAGCGGUGGAAUGCGCAGAGUAUCAGGAGGAACACCGGUGGCGAAGGCGGGUCUCUGGGCCAUGAACUGACGCUGGAGAAGCGAAAGCUGGGGAGCGAACAGG
rnacentral:rRNA from 1 species